CCCCAGACCAUUAUACCUGGCACCCUUUUCGCAAGAUCCUAUGAUCGGUAACUACCACACACGAGUGAAAGUAACAGUUCCGUAUAUAAGUACGUUACAGUUGCCUGGUGUGGUGCAUGUGGGACGCUAUAGCUCUGUGUUUACCGAACCUUUGAAAUGAACGCAUGCGCGAUAAAUGAGACGUAGCGCAUGCGUGGGCAUCAUCCAAUCAGAACGCAGGCAAAUUUCGCGCCGGUCGCGCAAGUUCGAGACGGCUCAAAAAUUUCAAAAAAUAUUUGUUUUCAGAACAAAUUCAGUGAAAAUAUCUAUUAUUCACAUGUAUUUGCUUGUUGAAGGUUUAAAUUUAACCAAGACUAUGAAUCGACUGGAAAAGAUGAAGGCGAAGUGAAAUUUACACCGUAAAUUAACCAAGAGGUCGCAGUGUCGCACCGCCGUUGGUUUCUAUACGAAAAGUACAAACUCAAAGCGAUAUUUUUUUUAUAUUUUGUACUAUUUUGUUUCCUUUUCUGACGAUAGUUGAUGAGAAGAUAUUCUUGUCUAAAGCUUGCUUCAAUCGUCAAAGGAGGAAAGUUCUUAGUUUGACUUAAUAUUAAUGUAUUUCUGUAUUUGUAUUUAUGAAUCAUAUAUUUAAUAAUUAUUAUAAACUUCUAAAAUCUUGCACAUAGUGUAUAUUCUUUUGUGUAUAUUCUGGAAAGUAUCUCACUUUGGCGAUAAAGCAUAACGUCGAUCAAUAAAAGGAUGGGCAAGGUGAGGUCAUUGAGUACUUUCCGGAACCGUCAUUGAGUACUUUCCGGAACCGUGUAUUUAUAUAUACAGUAUUGUCUUGUAUAUAUACAUUAUGCCUAUAUUUAUAUAUACAUGAGCUUGUGGUUAGAGCUUGACAACUGGCCUGUGUACCUCAGUUGGUUGGAG